rnacentral:rRNA from 1 species
CAGCCGCCACGGUAACACGUAGGGUGCGAGCGUUAAUCGGAAUUACUGGGCGUAAAGCGUGCGCAGGCGGUUUUGUAAGACAGGCGUGAAAUCCCCGGGCUCAACCUGGGAAUGGCGCUUGUGACUGCAAAGCUAGAGUGCGGCAGAGGGGGAUGGAAUUCCGCGUGUAGCAGUGAAAUGCGUAGAUAUGCGGAGGAACACCGAUGGCGAAGGCAAUCCCCUGGGCCUGCACUGACGCUCAUGCACGAAAGCGUGGGGAGCAAACAGGAUUAGAUACCCGGGUAGUCCCUGUCUCUUAUAC